GUCUCUUUGUUUAAUAUAAUAUAGAGAGUCGGGCCUGCUCGGUGAUAAAUAUUUAACAGCUGCGGUAUUUUAACUGUACUAAGGUAGCAUAAUAAUUUGCCUUAUAAUUUGAGGCUAGAAUGAAUGGUUUGACGAAAGUUAAUCUGUCUCUAAUUUAUUUUUUAGAAAUUAAUUUUUAAAGUGAAAAAGCUUGGAUAAUUUAAAGGGACGAGAAGACCCUAUUGAGCUUUAAGUUAAUUAAAUUUAUAAUAUAAGUAUUUAUAAAUUAUUGAUUUUUGAUUGGGGUGAUCAAGGAAUAAUUAUUAAUAACUUCCUUAAGAUUUAAAAUUGUUAAAUGAAAUAACCAAUAUUAAUAUUGCUUAAAUAAAAGUUACCAUAGGGAUAACAGCGUAAUUUACUUAAAGAGUUCAUAUUAAAAAGUAAGAUUGCGACCUCGAUGUUGGAUUAAAAUAACCAUAAGGUGCAGUAGUUUUAUAUGGUAAAUCUGUUCGAUUUUUAAAAUUUUACA
rnacentral:rRNA from 1 species